GCAGAUAAACUGAUGCUGGAAUCCAGGGAGAUACAAAUCUAUAUACAUUCUCCUAUAACUUUGUAGGUAUUUUAGUAAAAAGUUGGGAAGUGCUACAUCUGGAACAAUCCUCUGGAGGCCACUCACCUUCUUAGCUCUUAAGGAAUUAAAUCCUGAACUUCACCAAACGACCCCUUUUCUGGGAGUAAAGGUGAACGCUAGUAAGCAACCAAAGGAAAUUUUGAAAAGUUCUCAGCUGCCACCUCUUAUGAAAGUUGUGAAUUCUUAUGUUUAAGUAGUAUACUUAAUAAGCAGGACUAAAAGUGUAAUCAAAACAGCAAGUUUGUUUACUAGUUCCUCAGUGUGACUAGUUCUUCUGUGGCUUCUAGAUUAAAAGUUAGGCAGGCUUCAUUAUUGCUCUGCCUUCUUUAAGUUACAGACAGUCCCAAGCUACCAUUUAGAAUGCUCAGUCCCAGACAAUAAGCAAAACUUCCAUUUCCUUUGUAUUGAGCUACUCUAUUCCCAGGGGAGAACUGAGGAGCCUGGUGACAGGUAGCAGGCCGGCACCUCUCGCUCCUUUUCCAGUCCUGGUCCCCUCACUUGCUAACGAAGCUUCAGACACCUCUAGAGUUGGAGUAGGAAGAAGAGAGGCAAAGGACAAAAUUCUUCCUUGCCUGGUGCUGUCCUGGGAAUGCUCCAGAUUCUCUGAAUCUGCCAGACAGUUAAAGAUGAUUUGUGUUCCUUUUUCUUCAUGGAUACUGAUGGGGGUUUUUGCAGGAAGCUCACCUAUUUUCCCUAAACAAAGACCUGGCUAAUCCUUUGUUCCUUUCCCAGCUCCCAGGGUCCAGCUGCUUUUGCAAGAGUCCUGACUGCUCCUUGGAGUGUUCUGGAUCCAACCCUGCAGAAGGUUCUCCUGUGUGGUCCAUAUUUCAUCUCCAGAGACCAUCCAUCUUUGGCCCACAAUCCCUGAGAAUGCAUCCCAGGCCUGACUGAUGUGGUAGGCGCUCUGCUCACGCUCUCAGAGUGAUUCACUUACAGCCAUUUCUGCUGGCUAUUUUUGAAAAUUCAGCCUUUUCCCAUGAUUCCAGAAGUGAGCCCAGUGCUAACUAGCCCAGUGCUAGUUGAGUUUAGUGGAUCCUCUAGUGACUCUACACAGUGAUUCACAGAUGGUUAUUUCUGAUGAAGAAAUCAUCCAUUGUUUCAUGUUUGAAAAGUGGCUGUGCAUUUUUUAUUUCCAUUCUGCAAUAUUUAUGGAAAGGAGACGUAUAACUAAAAGAGAAUCCAUCAAAUGGAACUUAAUGAAAUGAUUUAUCAUCUCCAAGAUGGUCACUGAGGAAAUCGAUGGCUCCUGCAUCUCAUAGCUCUAAGACGAAUUUCAGGGGCACAAACUUCUGCUGCCAAUUAGGUUUAAACCUCUCAGUUUAUUAUGAUACACUGUGAGUCCUGGCUUCCUUUGUGGGGACCAGGCACAGGAAACCUCCCUUUGAUGUUGCACGACAUGUGCUCAAAGAGACAUCUGGAAGACAGAACUUUUAUCUGACUCUUCUCAACCUUGCCUCAACCUCUCGGGCAAUAAAUCACCGAUUGUCUGAGGAGGAAAUGAAGAGGUAGCACCUAUGGAGGCCCACACUUCUACACCAGCUCAAAUGCAAACAGAACACGCGCAGAGGCAGGAGCUUUUGUGUCCACAUACAGGAGAGUGUUAUAGGCCAGUGGCGAGAGGAGAGAGGAGGCAGUGCUUGCCAGGUGACUAAGAGGGUCUCUUUCUCUCUAGAGGAAGAUAAACAAGUGAGAGAGAAAGACAUAUGGGAAAAGUGAAGCUUCACUGACAGAGAGGAGGAAGAAUAACCACACCCCAUCUCAGACUGGCAGGGAAGAAGAAUGUCA